rnacentral:rRNA from 1 species
AGCGUAGGCGGAUUUUUAAGUGGGAUGUGAAAUACCCGGGCUCAACCUGGGUGCUGCAUUCCAAACUGGAAAUCUAGAGUGUCGGAGAGGAAAGCAGAAUUCCUAGUGUAGCGGUGAAAUGCGUAGAUAUUAGGAAGAAUACCAGUGGCGAAGGCGGCUUUCUGGACGAUAACUGACGCUGAGGCUCGAAAGCGUGGGGAGCAAACA